CUUUCGACACACUCACUGUAAAAGAAGCCUCGCUUUGUUUGAUUCGGCGUGAAUGUUCGCUCCAGGAGUACAGAGCUGCAGUCGAGCAGCAGGCCAUGCUGUAAAACAGCGAGGCCAUCAGCAGGUCCCCUGGGUGGUCCUCUCUCACAUGAAGCAAGGGUGGGUCGUGAUCGCACAUGCCCAAGAAGCCAUCGCCGUCACAGCCUCUCUAUUCUUGGUUGGAGCUAAAAAAAGAAAAGCCAGGAACGGUGUGCUGUAAAGUCAUGGUGGUCUCACUCUGCCACCCCCAGUUCCUCUUAGCCCAAGCCCACCGGCGCCCUCUCUGGUCAUCUGCAGCACCUCAGCUCAAUCUGAAUGAGAAAUGAAAUUCCCUUUUCAGUGUGGGUGACCCAUGGAUUCAGGGGCUAGUGCGUGAGGAAUGCUGGCCUCUCAGUGUGUGGGAUAUUUCAGUUGCCACGAACAUUUCCAAAACACACAGUCAAUCAGCAUUUAAAAGUGAAACUCGCUCUUCCUUCUCUUGCAAUUUCUCCCUGAAGCGAAAUAUAUUUGAAGAGUGAACUGCUCCCAGGUUUUAUUUUGACACGUGUUGAUGAAUCGAAGGAAGGGCCGCUCUGUUUCCUAUCAGACUGGGGCUCCUUCGAAAGAGGCAUCAUGCUGGGUUAAUCUUAACACAAAACAUCCCCCUCACCAGCUCAAAAUCUUUAACUUUCUUUUGAACAUAAUCACACCAAUGGGUGCCAGACUCAAGCAUAGUGAUAUAAAAGCUACAUAAAACAAAUGUUGAUCAUUAAUCUGUUUGACUUUAUUUAUUUGUUUCACAUCAAAGCUAAUGAUUAUUUCACAGGAGACAAAGCUUGUGGGAAUCAUCGACAAUGACACAUAACCCGUGAGAUCAUUCAUAUAAACAUGGCUUUUUGAUUUCACAGCAUCCACAGCUGGAGUUGGGCUGAAGUAGAUUGCAAUGUUCUUGAUCUGUGAGGUUCCAGUUAGGGCCCCCAUGCUAAGAUUAAGCCCAGGAUCCUCUGGCUAUUUCCCCUCUUUUCCCAAUUUCAGUUGCAGAGUUCUUGGUAACCACAGAAAGGAUAUUGCUGCUAGAAAAAUUAAGUCAAAUCUUUAUUAUAAAAUCCUUGACAUCCAGAGAACUGGUCACACCAUGUUUAGUUUAAACAAAGAGGUUAAUUAUUUUUUUAAUUUCAUUUUUAUUCUUUACAGUCUUAAACACAGGCUACUAAAUGUUGUGACAUAUUGCUGAACGCCAGCUGCUAAACCUUUUGAGAAAAUAGUCUAUUGUUGCAGGGUAACACAUAGAACACCGUGAACAAUAUUUUGUUCUAAAUCUAAAUAAAGUGGUUUUAUUUGUCAAAAAAUAUUAUUUAUUAUGACUGAAUUAACCUGUAUACAUAAGUCUAAAAAAAAACAAUAAAACAAAAGUGGUUUUUAAAGAAAUAAUUCACCUAAAAUUUAACAUUUUGCCUGUUUUGUUGUCUUUCAGCCAUAUUUGGCUAAAUGUUCAACAUAGUCUCAUUACAAUUUGUAAUAAUCCAUACAUGAUGGUUUAAUGCACUAUGAACUAAUAUUAACUAACAAUGAACAACUGUAUUUUUAUUAACUAAAAUCAACAAAUAUUAAUAAAUGCUGUAAAAAUAUAUUAUUCAUUGUUUGUUCAUGAUACCUAAUGCAUUAACUAAUGUUAAUGAAUGGAACCUUAUUGUAAAGUGUUACCAUUAUGUUUAGAGUUUGGGUAAGGGGUUACACUUUAUGGCUAGGUUUAGGUUUUGGUUAGGGGUUAAACUGAUAAAUCGUAACUGCAUCGUUCGUUGGUUCCUUUAAUUUUCUGUAUGGGAGUAAAAGUCAGAUUUUGUAUACGAGCCAACUCAACUUCUUAAGAUUUCGCCAUCUCGUAUGAUUUCUAACGAUUCCGCCACCUCGUAUGACUUCUUGUGAUUUCACUGUCUCAUCUGAGUUCUUACGAAUUGGCUAUUUCAUACGAUUUCUUGCGAUUUGUCAUCUCGGAUGAUUUCUAACGAUUUUGUAAUCUCUCAUGAUUUCACCAUCUCUUAUGAGUUCUUACGAUUUUGCCAUCUCGUAUGAUUUCUUACGAUUCCGUAAUCUCUUAUGAUUUCACCAUCUCUUAUGAGUUCUUACGAUUUUGCCAUCUCGUAUGAUUUCUUGUGAUUUAGUCAUCUCUUAUGAUAUCACCAUCUGAUUCACCAUCACCACUGAUUCGUUGGUUUCUAUGAGAAUAAAAGUCAUACCUUUUCAUGCAAGCCAAGUUGUACAAUAUCUUACGAUUACUCUCCCAUACAAAUUAUUAUGAGUUAUGAUGACAUUUUGUUGACAUAUUUAAAUUUUUCAUUACCUGAGGUAAUGAAGCUGCCUAAUAAUUAUGAACACCUUGAUAUAAGGCGUUAGUCACUUUAGCCACACCCUCCCUCAUUACACAAAUACAUACCACCUGAAAAUGAUUGAAUCCAAUAAGCAUUCAAGUUUAUUUUGUUUGGAGUUGGAAAAUGUGCAUGGAAAUAAUAAGAUCAGAAUACUCACUUGCCUAAUAACUGGGCAUGCAGUGUACAAGUUCAAUGUGUAUGCAAUUUGUGUUUUCACUGUAUAUAAUGAUCUGUCUAGGAAACCCCUAAAACAUAAUUUUUAUUUUUUUUUAAGGAAAGCCAGACCACAACACAAAUGCAUUUAAGUGUGCCCAUAUCCUCUAGUUUGGGAUGGUAUUGGCUGUGGGGUAGAAACCAUCUGAUAAUGUACUUGUUCCAUCACAAAACACUGAUGUUAGUCUUGUUCUGGUCUGAACUUGGCAUGACCCUGGCCUGCCUCGCUGACAAAAGCGAGCCGGAGCAGUUGGGCAGGAGCCUCUCGGAUCAUAGGGGCCACAUAUCUUCCCCAUUUCCCUGUUCCAGCAUGGAAUGGGACCCCUGACUCUUACUUAAUCCUUCUUUAACCAGGACAGCAAAAUUACAGACCACUGCACGGCAAUGCCACUCAGAUGCCGGAAAUUACUGCAACCCGUUAUGAGUUAACCAAUCAAUUAACAGACUGUCUGAUCAUUAAGUGUCUAUCCAGUUAAAAUGGCCAAGUGUUUGAAAUUCAACACUUUUUUGUUUUUUUUUUGUUUAUUUAUCUGUCAUGUGACAUUUGUUAAACUGCAUGCACAUAAACUGCAUUUAUAUGCUUAUUUACCCAUUAAUGGUACAUUUGUUUGGAUUGUAGCUGUACCUAAAAUGUAUUCUGCUUAUUUAAAGCUGAAGUGUGUAUUUUAUUUUUUAUUAAAAUAAUUUCCCCUAUCCCAUUUAUUAUAUAGAGGCUAUAUGUACUGUAUAACUUAUGUAUUACUAUAAGUAAGCCUUUAUAGUAUGUAUUACUAUAAGUAAGCCACUCGUAGGUUGAUUUCCAUGAAAACUAUAAACAACUGUCUUCUUUGGUGAUACAAAAUUGCUCGUUUUUUUUUUUUUUUUUUUUUUUGAGCGGCCUUCUGUAUUUUUCAUUCCAUAAAAAUAUUUCAUUCUUUAAGACAUAAGACCGUGUUUACAUUUACCUAAGAUAACUGCUUCUUCUUUUUUUUGUUUUUUUUUUGUUUUUCAGAAAACGACAUUUUGAGAUAUAAUGCAAUCACAGCCGUUUUCUGUACGCCCAUUAAGGGAUUAAGAAAAAGCUAUUUAA